CCUAUAUACAUGUCACAAUAUUAGGAACCAAAAUGAACAUUUCUACCGUCUUGAUAAUAGUGUGUUAUCUGCACUGAUCCGUCUUGGUAAGUUCCGCAAGUUGGAGAUCUAUAUGUAGAGAGAAUAACAAUAGGUGAACAUUCAAGUGGAAAUUACAACACUUACCUUGUUCAUAGGUGAGCAUUUAACUAACAAAUGUUUUGGUGGAAAUUACAACACUUACCUUGUUCAUAGGUGAGCAUUUAACUAACAAAUGUUUUGGCAUACAUUUAGCUAGAACAUGGCACUUAAUGUCACAACAAAGUGAGCAUAAGAAACAUAAGCAUUCAUGUGCAUCAAACAUUAUAACAUAGCUCAAAGCAUCACAAAUUUGUACCAAGCCACAUCUACUCAUCUCAAAGCCAUAUUCUAUCAUCAAUUCAUAAGUUUAUACCAUUUCAUGUGAAUCAUGUAUCAUAUUAGUUUAUCAAAUUCGAUUCAUUUUAUUUUUCAAUUUUAAGAUUCAAUUUCAAUGUUUCGUCCAAUGAACUCUAGUAAAACGGACUUGAACACAUGGAUAAACUACACCACACUAAGGCCUUGAAGUGCAAAGCUUGUAUGCAUCAAAUGUUUAAACAUAUUCAAAUACAUCCCUCCACCAUACCAAAGUCUUCGUGGAGACAAUGAAUACUCGAUGAUUCGCAACAAAUGCUAGAUCCCGAAAUAACCUAUCAUAAUAUUCAUAUCAUCAACUAUCCCGUACACAAUCGCGUAAUUGAUCCUAUUGGCGUGUCAAUUGUAUCCUAGCCUUUUACUAAGUUCACAUGGGCAUCAAUCAUUCAUAUUUGCAUAUUCAUACCCUAUACUGUCACAUAUCAAUUUUUGAGUUCUGUCGAUUGAAUCUAAACAUGAAUUAUACAUACAUUUAAUGAUCUUUGACAUUCCCCUAGUUACACUAACAUAUAUAAUGUCAAUCAUUUAUCUUAUUUUGUUUCAAUUCAAUCACAUUUACUAGCAAUGUAAGCCAAUUUCCACCAAAACCUUAACUAUGCUCAAACAUAGAUGUAAUGAAAAUAAAUACAAGCAUACCUAUUUAACAAGUAAGGGUAGAAGUUCCACAAGAACUUACCUUUCAAAACACAAAAUGAGUAUGUAACACCUAGUUACCCAAAUUGACUCGAGGGUUUGGAAAACUAGGAUUCAGUUUAACGGAAUAAGAAAUUGUCGGUCUCUGGUAGAAGAUUAGAAAAUUUAGAGACUGAAAUGUGAAUAAUUGGAUUUUAAUUCUGGUUCGGUUGGAAUGGAACUGACAAGAUCCAAAGUGGGAGACAAAAUGAUUAAG
rnacentral:lncRNA from 1 species